UUAGACGGGGACCCGGCACAAGCGGUGAUGAUGUGGAUUAAUUCGAUGCAACGCGAAGAACCUUACUACCCUUGACAUGUCCGGAACUUGCCAGAGAUGGCUUGGUGCCCGAAAGGGAAUCGGAACACAGGUGCUGCAUGGCUGUCGUCAGCUCGUGUCGUGAGAUGUUGGGUUAAGUCCCGCAACGAGCGCAACCCUUAUCAUUAGUUGCUACGCAAGGGCACUCUAAUGAGACUGCCGGUGACAAACCGGAGAAGUGGGAUGACGUCAAGUCCUCAUGGCCCUUAUGGGUAGGGCUUCACACGUCAUACAAUGGUCGGUACAGAGGGUUGCCAAGCCGCGAGGCGGAGCCAAUCCCACAAAGCCGAUCGUAGUCCGGAUUGUUCUCUGCAACUCGAGAGCAUGAAGUCGGAAUCGCUAGUAAUCGCAGGUCAGCAUACUGCGGUGAAUACGUUCCCGGGUCUU
rnacentral:rRNA from 1 species